UACGGGAGGCAGCAGUGGGGAAUAUUGCACAACUGGGCGAAAGCCUGAUGCAGCUAGUGCCGCGUGUAUGAAGAAGGCCUUAGGGUUGUAAAGUACUUUCAUCGGGGAGGAAAAAACAAAACUAAUAAUUUUAUUUCUUGACGUUACCCGAAAAAGAAGCACCGGCUAACUCCGUGCCAGCAGCCGCGGUAAUACGGAGGGUGCUAGCGUUAAUCAGAAUUACUGGACGUAAAGAGCACGUAGGUGGUUUUUUUAAGUCAGAUGUGAAAUCCCUGGGCUUAACCUGGAACUGCAUUUUGAAACUGAAAUACUAGAGUAUCGUAGAGGGAGGUAGAAUUCUAGGUGUAGCGGUGAAAUGCGUAGAUAUCUGGAGGAAUACCUGUGGCGAAAGCGGCCUCCUAAACCGAAUACUGACACUGAGGGUGCGAAAGCGUGGGGGAGCAAACAGGGAUUAGAUACC
rnacentral:rRNA from 1 species